rnacentral:rRNA from 1 species
CCUACGGGAGGCAGCAGUGGGGAAUCUUGCGCAAUGGGCGAAAGCCUGACGCAGCAACGCCGCGUGCGGGAAGAAGGCUUUCGGGCUGUAAACCGCUUUCAGCAGGAACGAAAAUGACGGUACCUGCAGAAGAAGGAGCGGCCAACUAUGUGCCAGCAGCCGCGGUGAUACAUAGGCUUCAAGCGUUGUCCGGAUUUAUUGGGCGUAAAGAGUUCGUAGGCGGUCAAGUAAGUCGGGUGUGAAAAUUCUGGGCUCAACCCAGAGACGCCACCCGAUACUGCUUAACUUGAGUUCGAUAGGGGAGUGGGGAAUUCCUAGUGUAGCGGUGAAAUGCGCAGAUAUUAGGAGGAACACCGGUGGCGAAGGCGCCACUCUGGAUCGAUACUGACGCUGAGGAACGAAAGCAUGGGUAGCAAACAGGAUUAGAUACCCUGGUAGUCCAUGCCGUAAACGGUGGGCACUAGGUGUGGGUUUCUAUUAACGAAAUCCGCGCCGUCGCUAACGCAUUAAGUGCCCCGCCUGGGGAGUACGGUCGCAAGCUAAAACUCAAAGGAAUUGAACGGCUGNGAGUGCGAGCGCGACGAGGAGAGG